ensembl:lncRNA
GAGGUGAUGUGUGCGCUAGUGCACCAGAGGCCUGAGGUGAUGUGUGAUGUAUGCACUAGUGCACCAGAGGCCCGAGGUGAUGUGUGCGCUAGUGCACCAGAGGCCCAAGGUGAUGUGUGCACUAGUGUACCAGAGGCCUGAGGUGAUGUAUGCACUAGUGCACCAGAGGCCCGAGGUGAUGUGUGCGCUAGUGUACCAGAGGCCCGAGGUGAUGUGUGCACUAGUAUACCAGAGGCCUGAGGUGAUGUGUGCGCUAGUGUACCAGUGUUCACUGGCAGUAGAGGACAGGGCUGAAUUGUCCUGGGACCUUUUAAUCCCACCCAAGCCCAACCUCUCUUAGGGUUGGCAUUGUUUUGAGGAGGCUUGAAGAGAAAAUGAGUAAGAGUUUGCAACUUGAGGUUGUAUAAGCAGAUUGGAGUUCAGCUAAUGUUUCUAUUUAAGGUCUCU